CCCUUAGAUGUUCUGGGCCGCACGCGUGCUACACUGAGUGAUUCAAUGGGUAAGGGAACGCUAGGGCAUUACCUAAUCUUGAAAUUUGCUCGUGAUGGGGAUCGACGGUUGCAAUUUUCCGUCGUGAACGAGGAAUACCUUGUAGGCGCAUGUCAUCAUCAUGCGCCGAAUACGUCCCUGCCCUUUGUACACACCGCCCGUCGCUCCUACCGAUUGAGUGAUCCGGUGAGGCUCUGGGACCUGGACGGAAAGAGCGUUUCGCUUGUUCUGUUUGGGAAACUUGGUCGAACCUUAUCAUUUAGAGGAAGGAGAAGUCGUAACA
rnacentral:rRNA from 1 species